rnacentral:tRNA from 1 species
AGUAAAGAAGUAAAAAUACAAUUAAUUUCGACUUAAUAUAAGAGAUAAAAUCUCCAUACUU